rnacentral:rRNA from 1 species
AGUGAACGCUGGCGGCAGGCCUAACACAUGCAAGUCGAGCGGCAGCGGGUCCUUCGGGAUGCCGGCGAGCGGCGGACGGGUGAGGAAUGCGUCGGAAUCUGCCUUUUUGUGGGGGAUAACGUAGGGAAACUUACGCUAAUACCGCAUACGACCUGCGGGUGAAAGUGGGGGACCGCAAGGCCUCACGCAGAAAGAUGAGCCGACGUCGGAUUAGCUAGUUGGCGGGGUAAAGGCCCACCAAGGCGACGAUCCGUAGCUGGUCUGAGAGAAUGAUCAGCCACACUGGAACUGAGACACGGUCCAGACUCCUACGGGAGGCAGCAGUGGGGAAUAUUGGACAAUGGGCGCAAGCCUGAUCCAGCCAUGCCGCGUGUGUGAAGAAGGCCUUCGGGUUGUAAAGCACUUUUGUCCGGAAAGAAAUCCUGUCGGCUAAUACCCGGCGGGGAUGACGGUACCGGAAGAAUAAGCACCGGCUAACUUCGUG